rfam:Triticum aestivum genome assembly, contig: Triticum_aestivum_CS42_TGACv1_scaffold_288230_4AL
GAUAUACUCCCUCCGUCCAGAAAAGCUUGUCUCCUAAAUGGAUGUAUCUAUCAUCAAGUUAGUGCUAGAUACAUCCAUUUGAGUGUCAGCUUGGGACAAGCUUUUUCGGACGGAGGGAGUACUAC